AACCCCAAAAAUCUACGCUCACUUCUAUCGUCUGUUUCUAUUCCAUCUACCCUUUCACCCAAAACUCCAAAACCCCAAAAUCAUCCGGACUUUGCCAUCACCCAAGACCACCGACCUUCCGGCAGCGAUUUCCGGCAACCCGGCACCGUCGUUCCUUCUUUCUCAAUCGUUUAGUUCUGCAGUGAAGAUUUCAGCACGGUGAUUUCAUGAUUCAUCUCUUAGACUUUGUGGCUUGUUUUCUGGAGUUACUUUAAUUUUUCUUAUGGAUAUUGUAGCUUGGAGGACUUUAGUCUGACGUCUAGCAUUGGGGAAUUCAAGAAACGUCUUCAACUUCUUUAUGCUUUCCUUGGUCAAAACCAUAUCAGUGCAUGUCUGAAAAUUAAUUUCAGGUAUCAAUGAAGAUGAUGAUUAAUUAUUUCAAGGCAAUGAAUUUGAAAAGGACGACAUAGAUGACAAAUUUGAAGAGCACACUGUAGAUGAUAAAUAUGAAGAAGACACACUUGAAUCAUUUAGAUGAUGAUUUUAGAUCAUAGUUUUUUGGAUGAUGUUUUUUUAUUAGGCAUGUACUAGAUUGAAGCAUAAAAACUUCAACAAACUAUAUAUUUUAAACUUUAUUAAUUUAUGUUAGACAGUUUGUUUACUACAAUUUAUUUGAAUACAACUUUGUUGAUAA